rnacentral:tmRNA from 1 species
GGGGGCGACCUGGUUUCGACGUGGUCGGUUCUCCGGCAGAGCUGCAAGCCGAGGUCGCCGGUAGGCCUCGUAAAACCACCGGCACCAAUGCAAGUGCGAAGAACGAUCUCGCACUCGCUGCCUAAGUAAUUAGGUAGCGACGUCGCUCCAAGCUGGGCCCGUGGCUCGGGUAGCGGCGCCAACAACGGGCUCGGCACCGAAGGAGAGCCAAUCGCCGGAGGUGCGACACAACAGGAUGGCUGGCCCGCCGGUAGGGCGUCCGCCUCCGGCCGUCGGGCGAGAUCCAAUGGCGGACUAAGCUUGUAGAAGUUCUGCGCGGGGCUUCCGCGGACGCGGGUUCGAUUCCCGCCGCCUCCAUGA